UACGUAGGGGGCUAGCGUUGUCCGGAUUCAUUGGGCGUAAAGAGCGUGUAGGCGGCCAGGUAGGUCAGCUGUGAAAACUGGAGGCUCAACCUUCAGACGUCGGCUGAAACCAUCUGGCUAGAGUCCGGGAGAGGAGAGUGGAAUUCCUGGUGUAGCGGUGAAAUGCGCAGAUAUCAGGAAGAACACCCGUGGCGAAAGCGGCUCUCUGGAACGGUACUGACGCUGAGGUGCGAAAGCGUGGGGAGCAAACAGG
rnacentral:rRNA from 1 species